UCUCCUUCUCUCCAUCCUCUUCACCUACCUCUCCCCCAGGGCAGCAGGGCAGGCAUGACAGGGGCGAUGAGCACUCCAUCCACAUACAGUUCGAAUUAUGCGUGCCAGCUUGAUGGAACUUUUGGUGACUGAUGUUCUGUGAGUACAGCCCCCUCCAGUGUGUGGGGGAGGUGCAGGGCGGGGCUGGUAGGGGACCAAUAUCUCCCAAAAGCUCCUUACAAAGCCCCCACUCCUACGGGGUGUUCUGUGUAUAUUGUGUUCUUGUGUAUAUGGGUCAAAGAUGUACAAUAUAUGUCUUCUCUUUGUAGCAGAUUUUAUAUUUAUAAUGUGCACCCCUUGUUCUCCCCAUCCUCUCCAUGCCCGAGAAGGAUGCCUGUCUGUGGUGUCACAGGGCUUUGGACCACUCUGGAUGUGGGGGGGUGUUUCAGACCUGCAGGUAAUGUCUGUCCCAGUAUGUGUUUGCAGUGUUGGGUCUGCCAGGAAGAGGUGCCAUAGAAAUACAGAUCUCAAGGCAUCCCCUACAGACAGAAUUUGGGUGGUUAGAGGAGAUGGGAGCGCCCAGCAGGAAGCAGGGCAGAGCUGUGUCCAAGAAACGGGGUAUCCAAGCUCAUCAGCUGCUGGCAAGUGCCUCUCUGAGCACUGCAGGGUGGAGACCUGCCAGUACUGGCUGGCAGGACUCUACAGGGAGGAAUAAUCCUGGAUCCAGCACUGGCUGGCAUUGGGCAGGAGGCCCAGUCUGGGCCACCUUGGCUUUCUCCCAGCACUCCUGCUGCGCCAUAAGGGCUGUCUUGGUGCGGAGGCUCUUGGUCCCUCAACUUUCCAUUUCUGUUCCCAGUGGAGAAAGCAGGGGGCAGUGAGGCCCGGGCCCAGCAUGUGACAGGCACAACCUUGUUGCCAAUAAAACUCCAAACAGUAUCUCAAGAAA